UACACAGGGAGCAAGCGUUAUUCGGAAUUAUUGGGCGUAAAAAGCGCGUAGGCGACUUUGCAAGUGAAAGGUGAAAUCCCUCGGCUUAACCGAGGAACUGCCUGUCAAACUGCAUGGCUUGAGACCAGGAGAGAUGAGUGGAAUUCCCAGUGUAGCGGUGAAAUGCGUAGAUAUUGGGAGGAGCACCAGUGGCGAAGACGGCUCACUGGACCGGUACUGACGCUGAUGCGCGAAAGCGUGGGGAGCAAACAGG
rnacentral:rRNA from 1 species